UUUGUGACAUACCUACAACUGUUGCUUCGGCGGGUAGGCCGUCCCCUGAAAAGGACGCCUCCCGGCCCGGACCGGACCCCCCGCGGGACCGGACCCGGCGCCCGCCGGAGGAUAACCAAACUCUAUUGUAACGACGUUUCUUCUGAGUGGCAUAAGCAAAAUAAUCAAAACUUUUAACAACGGAUCUCUUGGUUCUGGCAUCGAUGAAGAACGCAGCGAAAUGCGAUAAGUAAUGUGAAUUGCAGAAUUCAGUGAAUCAUCGAAUCUUUGAACGCACAUUGCGCCCGCCAGCAUUCUGGCGGGCAUGCCUGUUCGAGCGUCAUUUCAACCCUCAAGCUCUGCUUGGUGUUGGGGCUCUACGGUCGACGUAGGCCCUCAAAGGUAGUGGCGGACCCUCCCGGAGCCUCCUUUGCGUAGUAACAUUUCGUCUCGCACUGGGAUCCGGAGGGACUCUUGCCGUAAAACCCCCCAAUUUUCCAAAGGUUGACCUCGGAUCAGGUAGGAAUACCCGCUGAACUUAAGCAUAUCAAUAAGCGGAGGAAG
rnacentral:rRNA from 1 species